UACGGGGGGGGCAAGCGUUGUUCGGAAUUACUGGGCGUAAAGGGCGCGUAGGCGGUUCGCUAAGUUGGAUGUGAAAACUCUGGGCUCAACCCAGAGCCUGCAAUCCAAAACUGGCGGGCUAGAGUUCUGGAGGGGGUAGCGGAAUUCCUGGUGUAGCGGUGAAAUGCGUAGAUAUCAGGAGGAACACCGGUGGCGAAGGCGGCUACCUGGACAGAAACUGACGCUGAGGCGCGAAAGCUAGGGGAGCAAACAGG
rnacentral:rRNA from 1 species